rnacentral:miRNA from 1 species
GAAACCCAGCCAGAAGGGUGGGAUAUUAUUAUUAUUAUUAUUAAUAUUAUUAAUAAUAAUAAUAAUAUACUCCACCCAUCUGGCUGGGUUUC